GAUGAACGCUGGCGGCGUGCUUAACACAUGCAAGUCGAACGGAAAGGCCCAAGCUUGCUUGGGUACUCGAGUGGCGAACGGGUGAGUAACACGUGGGUGAUCUGCCCUGCUCUUCGGGAUAAGCCUGGGAAACUGGGUCUAAUACCGGAUAGGACGAUGGUUUGGAUGCCAUUGUGGAAAGUUUUUUCGGUGUGGGAUGAGCUCGCGGCCUAUCAGCUUGUUGGUGGGGUAAUGGCCUACCAAGGCGUCGACGGGUAGCCGGCCUGAGAGGGUGUACGGCCACAUUGGGACUGAGAUACGGCACAGACUCCUACGGGAGGCAGCAGUGGGGAAUAUUGCACAAUGGGCGCAAGCCUGAUGCAGCGACGCCGCGUGGGGGAUGACGGCCUUCGGGUUGUAAACUCCUUUCGCUAGGGACGAAGCGUUUUUGUGACGGUACCUGGAGAAGAAGCACCGGCUAACUACGUG
rnacentral:rRNA from 1 species